rnacentral:rRNA from 1 species
GACGAACGCUGGCGGCGUGCUUAACACAUGCAAGUCGAACGGAAAGGCCUUUUCGGAGGUUCUCGAGUGGCGAACGGGUGAGUAACACGUGGGUGAUCUGCCCUGCACUCUGGGAUAAGCCUGGGAAACUGGGUCUAAUACCGGAUAGGACCGCACUUUAGUGUGUGUGGUGGAAAGUUUUUUCGGUGUAGGAUGAGCCCGCGGCCUAUCAGCUUGUUGGGGGGGUAAUGGCCUACCAAGGCGGCGACGGGUAGCCGGACUGAGAGGUUGGUCGGCCACAUUGGGACUGAGAGACGGCCCAGACUCCUACGGGAGGCAGCAGUGGGGAAUAUUGCACAAUGGGCGCAAGCCUGAUGCAGCGACGCCGCGUGGGGGAUGACGGCCUUCGGGUUGUAAACUCCUUUCGCCAGGGACGAAGCGUUUUGUGACGGUACCUGGAGAAGAAGCACCGGCUAACUACGUG